rnacentral:rRNA from 1 species
GUGCGAGACCGAUAGCGAACAAGUACCGUGAGGGAAAGAUGAAAAGAACUUUGAAAAGAGAGUUAAAGAGUACCUGAAACUGCUGAAAGGGAACCGAAUCGUUUCCAGUGUCUAUAAUCCAUGGUAUAUUUCAUUGGCGAGUGAGUGCGUGCAGCGUUUUGGAAGCGGUCUCCGCUCCUGUCGUUGUUGUGCAUUUGCUUGCUGGUGCCCUGUGCUGUGGUGGGACGUCAGAGUCAGUUUGUAUGUUGCGGGAAAUGGUUAUCAGGGAGGUAGGUCGCUUCGGUGGCUGUUAUAUCCUGGUAACUAGUCGUCGUGGCUGAGACUGAGGUGCCUACAACGCGCUUUCGAGUCUGCGGGCUUCUCGUGUGGCUGUUUGCUUUGAUAGCUUGCUAUGUUAGUGAACGUGUUGAGCGAUUGAGAUCUGUAGUAACUUGUUGCUGUUCGGGACUUUGAA